CCCUUAGAUGUCCUGGGCCGCACGCGCGUUACACUGAUGCAUUCAACGAGCUUAUAACCUUGGCCGAGAGGCCUGAGCAAUCUUGUUAACGUGCAUCGUGAUAGGGAUAGAUUAUUGAAAUUAUUAAUCUUGAACGAGGAAUUCCUAGUAAACGCAGAUCAUCAAUCUGCAUUGAUUACGUCCCUGCCCUUUGUACACACCGCCCGUCGCACCUACCGAUUGGAUGGUCCGGUGAAGCCUCGGGAUUGUGGUUCUUGCCGCUUUAUUGUGGCGUGACCGCGAGAACUUGUCUAAACCUUAUCAUCUAGAGGAAGGUGAAGUCGUAACA
rnacentral:rRNA from 1 species